AAUUUCCCGCCUUCACGGUGGCAAGAAAGUCGCACAUGCGCCUUCUACACGGUUAGUGGUUGAAAAUGGCCAUUUGAUGUCAUAACACAGGUAGCGGCACCAGCUGGUUGGUACUUGUCACCAAUGCCUGGUCCUUCCAAGAUGCACGAUGUCACCAGCAGCUCCAAAGGAAGGAGUCAAUCAGACAGAUGUCCAGAGGAGUUUAGGGAAGGACUUGAUUGGGAACUCACUUUGCAUAGAGAAAACGGGACUUUCUUUUUCAUUAAUGAACUAUACCCCUACUGAACUUAAAUCUAGCUCUUAAACACGCAUUCUAGCUGCAGCUUACAGGAUUUGAAUUUUGUAAAGAUGUUUUUUCAGGAUAUGUAAAUUGACGGUAUCUCAUUCAUAUUCAUAGUCGAGUGCCAAUUUCUCAUUGGUCAAUGAACCACGCAUGCAAGGCUCUAUAAGUGAUCAUGCAAAGUAUACUAUGCUACUGUACCACUAUCUUUAUGUUAGUACAUAAAUACUCCAUGGCUUAUUUUGGGUAGAUACUCUAUAUUAGUUCCUCCAAGUCAGGAAACAAUAUGCCUUGCAAGAUAUCUCCUAGCAACAGUCAAAUCUUGUUAUAGUUGUAUAAGACACUUGAAUUUGAUCAGUGUGCUUCAGGUAAAAAAUAAAAUGAGGAAAGGGAACCCUUGUUAACGUC